rnacentral:rRNA from 1 species
CAAUAGCGUAUAUUAAAGUUGUUGCAGUUAAAAGCUCGUAGUUGGAUCUCGGGAGCGAGCGGGCGGUCGGGCGUUCAGCCGUGCACUUCCCGCUCAUCCUACUGUCCGGUACGUGCCCUGUGCUCUUAACCGAGUGUAGGGAGCGUCUGGAGCGUUUACUUUGAAAAAUUAGAGUGCUCAAAGCAGACGAUUCGUCUGAAUAGCCGUGCAUGGAAUAAUGGAAUAGGACCUCGGUUCUAUUUUGUUGGUUUUCGGAAGUCGAGGUAAUGAUUAAGAGGGACAGACGGGGCAUUGCGUACUGGCCGGCCAGCAGGUGAAAUUGCUUUAAUCUAGGCUCGAUGACGAACCACUGC